CCUUCAGUUCUUAAAGCGCUGCAAUUCGCUGCUGCAGCCAUAUUUCUUACUCUCUCGGGGCUGGAAGCUUCCUGACUGAAGAUCUCUCUGCACUUGGGGUUCUUUCUAGAACAUUUUCUAGUCCCCCAACACCCUUUAUGGCGUAUUUCUUUAAAAAAAUCACCUAAAUUCCAUAAAAUAUUUUUUUAAAUUCUAUACUUUCUCCUAGUGUCUUCUUGACACGUCCUCCAUAUUUUUUUAAAGAAAGUAUUUGGAAUAUUUUGAGGCAAUUUUUAAUAUUUAAGGAAUUUUUCUUUGGAAUCAUUUUUGGUUGACAUCUCUGUUUUUUGUGGAUCAGUUUUUUACUCUUCCACUCUCUUUUCUAUAUUUUGCCCAUCGGGGCUGCGGAUACCUGGUUUUAUUAUUUUUUCUUUGCCCAACGGGGCCGUGGAUACCUGCCUUUUAAUUCUUUUUUAUUCGCCCAUCGGGGCCGCGGAUACCUGCUUUUUAUUUUUUUUUCCUUAGCCCAUCGGGGUAUCGGAUACCUGCUGAUUCCCUUCCCCUCUGAACCCCCAACACUCUGGCCCAUCGGGGUGACGGAUAUCUGCUUUUUAAAAAUUUUCUUUUUUUGGCCCAUCGGGGCUUCGGAUACCUGCUUUUUUUUUUUUUAUUUUUCCUUGCCCAUCGGGGCCUCGGAUACCUGCUUUAAUUUUUGUUUUUCUGGCCCAUCGGGGCCGCGGAUACCUGCUUUGAUUUUUUUUUUUCAUCGCCCAUCGGUGCUUUUUAUGGAUGAAAAAAUGUUGGUUUUGUGGGUUGUUGCACUCUCUGGAAUAUCUACACUUUUUUUUGCUGCUGAUCAUUUGGUGGUGUGUGAGUGUACCUACCGCUUUGGCAGAGAAUGACUCUGCAGUUAAGCUAAGGGCGUGUUCAGAUUGUGGAGGAAAAGUGGCCGCCAUUUUAGACUUGCCGCAUAACUCGGCUUAGGGCUAGUCGUUUGUGCUAAGUUAAACUAGGGAGGCAAGAUGGAUGAUAGCAGGUCAGGCAGAGGAAGUCAUGUGCAUUGCAUGAGCUAAACCUAUCUGAAUGAAUUGAUUUGGGGCUUGUUAGGAGCUUUGCGUGAUUGUUGUAUCGGGAGGCAGUAAGAAUCAUCUUUUAUCAGUACAAGGGACUAGUUAAAAAUGGAAGGUUAGGAAAGACUAAGGUGCAGGGCUUAAAAUGGCGAUUUUGACAUUGCGGCAUUGCUCAGCAUGGCGGGCUGUGCUUUGUUAGGUUGUCCAAAAUGGCGGAUCCAGUUCUGUCGCAGUGUUCAAGUGGCGGGAAGGCCACAUCAUGAUGGGCGAGGCUUUGUUAAGUGGUUAGCAUGGUGGUGGACAUGUGCGGUCACACAGGAAAAGAUGGCGGCUGAAGGUCUUGCCGCAGUGUAAAACAUGGCGGGCCUCUUUGUCUUUGCUGUGUGCUUUUCGUGUUGGGUUUUGCCGCAGGGACAAUAUGGCAGGCGUUGUCAUAUGUAUAUCAUGGCUUUUGUCACGUGGACAUCAUGGCGGGCUUGCCGCAUUGUUAAAGAUGGCGGGUUUUGCCGCCUAGUGCCACGCAGAGCGGGAGAAAAGGUGGGAUGGACAGUGCUGGAUUGCUGCAUAACCCAACCAAUUAGAAAUGGGGGUGGAAUUGAUCACAGCCAAUUAGAGCAGAAGAUGGAAUUAGACUGAUGACACACUGUCCAGCUACUCAGCGAAGACCUGGGUGAAUUAGCAUGGCACUUCGCAGCUGUCUUUAGCCAGUCAGGAGAAAGAAGUGGAGGGGCCACGUGUAUGUCUCCCAGUGGGCGGUACACCAGGUGUUUUCAAGGUCUUUUCAAGGACAUUUAGCCUUUCCACCUCUGUCCCCUCUUAUUUGUCCCCUCCUGUCCAGUGCUGCCUCUUGCAGUGCUGGAUAUCUGGCUGUGUGGUCUGAACCUCCCUCCAUUCCUCUGUAUUGGUGCCUCACCUAAGGCUAAGUAUACCUCCCCCCCCACCCCCCAACCCCCCCAACUCCCCACCCCCACCCCCCACCCCCCACCUCCCCACCCCCCUACCCCCCUACCCCCCUACCCCCCUCUGGUCUGCCCUGCACUGCACUGUUGCCAUGGGCAGUGCUCCAGGCCUGCUUGGUGUGGACAUGGUGGUGAGCCGUGGCAAGGACCAGAAUGGAUCACAGAUGAUCGUUGGCCAACAGGUGGCAGAAGAGGAAUUCCUGCCUUCCUCAAGAGGAACACCUACCCCUUGGCUAAUGCUGGGGUCGGAUUUUGAUUUAUAUUUAUCUUUUGGAUGUCAGUCAUACAGUCUGAUUUUGUGGUUUGCUAGUGUUUGAAUUUAAGUCUUAAGUGACUAUUAUAGAAAUGUAUUAAGAGGCUUUAUUUGUAGAAUUCACUUUAAUUACAUUUAAUGAGUUUUUGUUUUGAGUUCCUUAAAAUUCCUUAAAGUUUUUAGCUUCUCAUUACAAAUUCCUUAACCUUUUUUUGGCAGUAGAUAGUCAAAGUCAAAUCAUUUCUAAUGUUUUAAAAAUGUGCUGGUCAUUUUCUUUGAAAUUGACUUAACUAUUUUCCUUUGAAGAGUCUGUAGCACAGAAACAGUAAAAAAUUUAACUUCAUGACCUAAUGUAAAAAAGAGUGUUUGAAGGUUUACACAGGUCCAGGCCUUGCUUUGUUCCCAUCCUUGAUGCUGCACUAAUUGACUAAUCACCUACUUAUCAGACAGGAAACUUGAAUUGCUGUGGUCUGGUGUCCUCUAUUCAGACUUAUUAUAUUGGAGUAUUUCAAUUUUUCGUUGUAUCCUGCCUGCCUAGCAUCCAGUUCCUCCCCAGCCCUGCUCCCAGCAAACCCCUAGUCUAGCCCCAGCCCUACUCCCACCCCGCCCCAGCCCUGCCCCAGCCCCAGUCCCCUAACCCCCCAGCCCUAGCCCCAGUCCCAGUCCUAGUUCCUCAGUCCCGCCCAGCUUCUCUCGAAAGUCACUCUAAUUUUCAUUGAUUCAGUGCUCAAAAUAAGUUGUCCAUUGCUUAUCCUAUUAUACUGGGAUAUUCCGUUUACCCUUGGCAUUGCUGAUCUUCAGUACUGACUCCUUGACCAUUUUCAGUUAAUGCAUACAAUCCCAUUUGUCUGUGAUCUCAGGACAAAGAAUUUCCUUACUCGGUACGUUGAAGUUAGGGAAUGUCAAUUGAGAGCUUUCUAUCAGAGCAUUAUUGCCCACAAUUUGAGUUACUUAUCAUUUUCUCGAUCCCCUGCCCUUAAAGGAGAAACCAUUUCUCUGUCAUUGCUUCUGUAGUCACAGUCCCAAUUUUGAGUAGUGAUCUUUUCUUGUGUACUGUGUUGGCCACCUAAAACUCUUUGCAUUGAGUAAAAUUCUAAUUGCCAAUAAUCCUACCCAUUGGAUUAGACAGCACUCUGAACCCCAUUUGCAUUCAGCAGGGGGUCGCAGACAACCCGUCUUUUGUUGGACAGUUAAAAUGCUCAGUCCCAAUUGUCAUAGCUUUGCCUAUUAAACAAAGGCACCCUACUGCGCUUUUUGCUGUGCUUCUGGAGAAUCCUGCUGUUCUUGGACAAUUAAAGAACAAAGUAGUAAUUGCUAAUUGUCUCACCCAUUAAUCAUGAAGACUACCAGUCGCCCUUGCAUUUGCCUUGAGGCAGCGCUGACUACCUGAGAUUUAAGAGUUUCUUAAAUUAUUGAGUAAAAUCCCAAUUAUCCAUAGUUCUGUUAGUUACACUAUGGCCUUUGCAAACAUCUUUGCAUAACAGCAGUGGGACUGACUCAUUCUUAGAGCCCCUUCCCUUGGAAUAUUAAUGGAUACAAUAGUAAUUAUUCAUGGUUCUGCGUAACAGAGAAGACCCACUUAUGUGUAUGCCUUUAUCAUUGCUCCUAGAUAGUGUGAACUACCUACCACCUUGCAUUAAUAUGUAAAACACUAAUUGCCCAUAGUCCCACUCAUUAGUCUAGGAUGUCCUCUUUGCCAUUGCUGCUGAGUUCUGACUACCCAAGUUUCCUUCUCUUAAACAGUUGAUAUGCAUAAUUGCAUAUAUUCAUGGUUCUGUGCAAUAAAAAUGGAUUCUCACCCCAUCCCACCUUCUGUGGGAUGUUGCUAACGAGUGCAGAUUAUUCAAUAACAGCUCUUGAACAGUUAAUUUGCACAGUUGCAAUUGUCCAGAGUCCUGUCCAUUAGAAAGGGACUCUGUAUCCUAUUUGCACGCUACAAUGUGGGCUGAUCACCCAAGGACUCUUCUUGUGCAUUGAUGUUCAUAAUUGUAUUUGUCCACGAUCUUGUGCACUAACCCUUCCACUCCCUUUGUAUUCCAGCAGGGGACCCUUACUACUCAAGACCUCUGUACUAGGACAGUUUAUGUGCACAAUCCUAAUUGAUUAGAACUGAGUCUUUUAUAUCAAGGUCCCUGCAUCAUCUUUGCUUUACAUCAAGAGGGUGCUGGUUACCUAAUGCCCCUCCUCCAGAAAUUAUUGAUGUGCAAAAUGCAAUUUCCCUAUCUGCUGUUAGUCUGGGGUCUCAUCCCCUCAUAUUCCUUUUGUCUUACAGCAGGGGGUACUUGGGACUGUUAAUGCGCAUAAUUGCAAUUAUGGUCUUUUCCAUUAAAUUAAGAUCCCAACUGCUCACACCCUCUUAGCAUUACAGUAGAGGGUGCUAAUCACAAGGACAUUUCUUUUGUACUGUUAAUGUGCUACUUGCAUUUGUCCCUCUUCCUGUGCACUAAAGACCCCACUCACUUCCCUAGUGUUCAGCAGUGGAUGACCUCUAGUCAAGACCUUUGCACUAGGAUAGUUAAUGUGAACCAUGGCAACUGAUCACAACAAUGUCUUUCAGAUCAGAUCCAUUUUAUCCUCCUUGUUUUACAGCAAGGGAUAUUAAUUACCUAUGUUACCUUUCCCUGGGACUAUGAAUGUGCAAAAUUCCAAUGUUCAUGGUCUCUCCCUUUAAACCUAUAUUCUACCCCUUUUACAUUAUAGAAAGGGAUGCUGGAAACCCAGAGUCCUUCUCUUGGGACUCUUAAUGUGUAUUUCUAAUUAUCCAUGACUCUUAAUGUGCAUAUUUUCAAUUGCCUAAUUGAUUUCAAUUGUCUAAGACAUUUCAAAUGUCUAAUUGAUUAGAACUGAGUCUUUUAUAUCAAGCUAAUAUCUAGCUUUUAUAUCAAGCUAAUAUCUUGACUUCUCAGCAUCAUAGAAGGGGGUACUGAUUUCCUAAAGUCUUUCUUGAAUUUCUAUUAUGCAAAAUUGCCCUGAGGCCGGGUGUGGUGGCUCACACCUGUAAUCCCAGCACUUUGGGAGGCUGAGGUGGGAAGAUCCCUUACUGCCAGGAGUUUGAGACCAGCCUGGCCAACAUUAAAAAAAAAAAAAAGUAAGACAAUUGCCCUGGAAUCCCAUCCCCCUCACACCUCCUUGGCAAAGCAGCAGGAGUGCUAACUAGCUAGUGCUUCUUCUCUUAUACUGCUUAAAUGCGCAUAAUUAGCAGUAGUUGAUGUGCCCCUAUGUUAGAGUAGAAUCCCGCUUCCUUGCUCCAUUUGCAUUACUGCAGGAGCUUCUAACUAGCCUGAAUUCACUCUCUUGGACUGUUAAUGUGCAUACUUAUAUUUGCUGCUGUACUUUUUUACCAUGUAAGGACCCCACCCACUGUAUUUACAUCCCAGCUGGAAGUACCUACUACUUAAGACCCUUAGACUAGUAAAGUUAGCGUGCAUAAUCUUAGGUGUUAUAUACACAUUUUCAGUUGCAUACAGUUGUGCCUUUUAUCAGGACUCCUGUACUUAUCAAAGCAGAGAGUGCUAAUCAAUAUUAAGCCCUUCUCUUCGAACUGUAGAUGGCAUGUAAUUGCAGUUGUCAAUGGUCCUUCAAUUAGACUUGGGUUUCUGACCUAUCACACCCUCUUUGCUUUAUUGCAUGGGGUACUAUUCACUUAAGGCCCCUUUCUCAAACUGUUAAUGUGCCUAAUGACAAUUACAUCAGUAUCCUUCCUUUUGAAGGACAGCAUGGUUGGUGACACCUAAGGCCCCAUUUCUUGGCCUCCCAAUAUGUGUGAUUGUAUUUGUCGAGGUUGCUAUGCACUAGAGAAGGAAAGUGCUCCCCUCAUCCCCACUUUUCCCUUCCAGCAGGAAGUGCCCACCCCAUAAGACCCUUUUAUUUGGAGAGUCUAGGUGCACAAUUGUAAGUGACCACAAGCAUGCAUCUUGGACAUUUAUGUGCGUAAUCGCACACUGCUCAUUCCAUGUGAAUAAGGUCCUACUCUCCGACCCCUUUUGCAAUACAGAAGGGUUGCUGAUAACGCAGUCCCCUUUUCUUGGCAUGUUGUGUGUGAUUAUAAUCGUCUGGGAUCCUAUGCACUAGAAAAGGAGGGUCCUCUCCACAUACCUCAGUCUCACCUUUCCCUUCCAGCAGGGAGUGCCCACUCCAUAAGACUCUCACAUUUGGACAGUCAAGGUGCGUAAUUGUUAAGUGAACACAACCAUGCACCUUAGACAUGGAUUUGCAUAACUACACACAGCUCAACCUAUCUGAAUAAAAUCCUACUCUCAGACCCCUUUUGCAGUACAGCAGGGGUGCUGAUCACCAAGGCCCUUUUUCCUGGCCUGGUAUGCGUGUGAUUAUGUUUGUCCCGGUUCCUGUGUAUUAGACAUGGAAGCCUCCCCUGCCACACUCCACCCCCAAUCUUCCUUUCCCUUCCGGCAGGGAGUGCCCUCUCCAUAAGACGCUUACGUUUGGACAAUCAAGGUGCACAGUUGUAAGUGACCACAGGCAUACACCUUGGACAUUAAUGUGCAUAACCACUUUGCCCAUUCCAUCUGAAUAAGGUCCUACUCUCAGACCCCUUUUGCAGUACAGCAGGGGUGCUGAUCACCAAGGCCCCUUUUCUUGGCCUGUUAUGUGCGUGAUUAUAUUUGUCUGGGUUCCUGUGUAUUAGACAAGGAAGCCUUCCCCCCGCCCCCACCCCCACUCCCAGUCUUCCUUUCCCUUCCAGCAGGGAGUGCCCCCUCCAUAAGAUCAUUACAUUUGGACAAUCAAGGUGCACAAUUAUAAGUGACCACAGCCAUGCACCUUGGACAUUAUUGGACAUUAAUGUGCGUAACUGCACAUGGCCCAUCCCAUCUGAAUAAGGUCCUACUCUCAGAUGCCCUUUGCAGUACAGCAGGGGUACUGAAUCACCAAGGCCCUUUUUCUUGGCCUGUUAUGUGUGUGAUUAUAUUUAUCCCAGUUUCUGUGUAAUAGACAUGAAAGCCUCCCCUGCCACACCCCACCUCCAAUCUUCCUUUCCCUUCCACCAGGGAGUGUCCACUCCAUAUACCCUUACAUUUGGACAAUCAAGGUGCACAAUUGUAAGUGAGCAUAGGCACUCACCUUGGACAUGAAUGUGCAUAACUGCACAUGGCCCAUCCCAUCUGAAUAAGGUCCUACUCUCAGACCCUUUUUGCAGUACAGCAGGGGUGCUGAUCACCAAGGCCCCUUUUCCUGGCCUGUUAUGUGUGUGAUUAUAUUUGUUCCAGUUCCUGUGUAAUAGACAUGGAAGCCUCCCCUGCCACACUCCACCCCCAAUCUUCCUUUCCCUUCUGGCAGGAAGUACCCGCUCCAUAAGACCCUUACAUUUGGACAGUCAAGGUGCACAAUUGUAUGUGACCACAACCAUGCACCUUGGACAUAAAUGUGUGUAACUGCACAUGGCCCAUCCCAUCUGAAUAAGGUCCUACUCUCAGACCCCUUUUGCAGUACAGUAGGUGUGCUGAUAACCAAGGCCCCUCUUCCUGGCCUGUUAACGUAUGUGAUUAUAUUUGUCUGGGUUCCAGUGUAUAAGACAUGGAAGCCUCCCCUGCCCCACCCCACCCUCAAUCUUCCUUUCCCUUCUGGCAGGGAGUGCCAGCUCCAUAAGAACCUUACAUUUGGACAGUCAAGGUGCACAAUUCUAAGUGACCGCAGCCAUGCACCUUGGUCAAUAAUGUGUGUAACUGCACACGGCCUAUCUCAUCUGAAUAAGGCCUUACUCUCAGACCCCUUUUGCAGUACAGCAGGGGUGCUGAUAACCAAGGCCCAUUUUCCUGGCCUGUUAUGUGUGUGAUUAUAUUUGUCCAGGUUUCUGUGUACUAGACAAGGAAGCCUCCUCUGCCCCAUCCCAUCUACGCAUAAUCUUUCUUUUCCUCCCAGCAGGGAGUGCUCACUCCAUAAGACCCUUACAUUUGGACAAUCAAGGUGCACAAUUGUAAGUGACCACAACCAUGCAUCUUGGAAAUUUAUGUGCAUAACUGCACAUGGCUUAUCCUAUUUGAAUAAAGUCCUACUCUCAGACCCCCUUUGCAGUAUAGCUGGGGUGCUGAUCACUGAGGCCUCUUUGCUUGGCUUGUCUAUAUUCUUGUGUACUAGAUAAGGGCACCUUCUCAUGGACUCCCUUUGCUUUUCAACAAGGAGUACCCACUACUUUUUAAGAUUCUUAUAUUUGUCCAAAGUACAUGGUUUUAAUUGACCACAACAAUGUCCCUUGGACAUUAAUGUAUGUAAUCACCACAUGGUUCAUCCUAAUUAAACAAAGUUCUACCUUCUCACCCUCCAUUUGCAGUAUACCAGGGUUGCUGACCCCCUAAGUCCCCUUUUCUUGGCUUGUUGACAUGCAUAAUUGCAUUUAUGUUGGUUCUUGUGCCCUAGACAAGGAUGCCCCACCUCUUUUCAAUAGUGGGUGCCCACUCCUUAUGAUCUUUACAUUUGAACAGUUAAUGUGAAUAAUUGCAGUUGUCCACAACCCUAUCACUUCUAGGACCAUUAUACCUCUUUUGCAUUACUGUGGGGUAUACUGUUUCCCUCCAAGGCCCCUUCUGGUGGACUAUCAACAUAUAAUUGAAAUUUUCUUUUGUCUUUGUCAGUAGAUUAAGGUCAUACCCCAUCACCUUUCCUUUGUAGUACAACAGGGUGUCCUGAUCAACCAAAGUCCUGUUGUUUUGGACUGUUAAUAUGUGCAAUUACAUUUGCUCCUGAUCUGUGCACUAGAUAAGGAUCCUACCUACUUUCUUAGUGUUUUUAGCAGGUAGUGCCCACUACUCAAGACUGUCACUUGGAAUGUUCAUGUGCACAAACUCAAUUCUCUAAGCAUGUUCCUGUACCACCUUUGCUUUAGAGCAGGGGGAUGAUAUUCACUAAGUGCCCCUUCUUUUGGACUUAAUAUGCAUUAAUGCAAUUGUCCACCUCUUCUUUUAGACUAAGAGUUGAUCUCCACAUAUUCCCCUUGCAUCAGGGGCAUGUUAAUUAUGAAUGAACCCUUUUCUUUUAAUAUUAAUGUCAUAAUUGUAUUUGUGGACCUGUGUAGGAGAAAAAGACCCUAUGUUCCUCCCAUUACCCUUUGGAUUGCUGCUGAGAAGUGUUAACUACUCAUAAUCUCAGCUCUUGGACAAUUAAUAGCAUUAAUAACAAUUAUCAAGGGCACUGAUCAUUAGAUAAGACUCCUGCUUCCUCGUUGCUUACAUCGGGGGUACUGACCCACUAAGGCCCCUUGUACUGUUAAUGUGAAUAUUUGCAAUUAUAUAUGUCUCCUUCUGGUAGAGUGGGAUAUUAUGCCCUAGUAUCCCCUUUGCAUUACUGCAGGGGCUGCUGACUACUCAAAACUUCUCCUGGGACUGUUAAUAGGCACAAUGGCAGUUAUCAAUGGUUUUCUCCCUCCCUGACCUUGUUAAGCAAGCGCCCCACCCCACCCUUAGUUUCCCAUGGCAUAAUAAAGUAUAAGCAUUGGAGUAUUCCAUGCACUUGUCUAUCAAACAGUGGUCCAUACUCCCAACCCUUUUGCAUUGCGCCAGUGUGUAAAAUCACAGGUAGCCAUGGUGUCAUGCUUUAUAUACGAAGUCUUCCCUCUCUCUGCCCCUUGUGUGCCCUUGGCCCCUUUUUACAGACUAUUGCUCACAAUCUCAGGUGUCCAUAUUUGCAGCUAUUAGGUAAGAUUGUGCUGUCUCCCUCUUCCCUUCCCUCUGCCCUGCCCCUUUUGCCUCUUUGCUGGGUAAUGUUGACCAGACAAGGCCCUUUCUCUUGGACUUAAACAAUUCUCAGUUGCACUUUCCUUGGUCCCACCCAUUAUACAUGAACCCCUCUACUUCCUUUCGCAUUGCUUCUGAGUAUGCUGACUACCCAAAGCCCCUUCUGUGUUAUUAAUAAACACAGUACUGAUUGUCCCAUUUUUCAGCCCAUCAGUCCAAGAUCUCCCUACCACUUUGGUGUGUUGGUGCAGUGUUGACUAUGAAAAGCAGGCCUGAACUAGGUGGAUAAGCCUUCACUCAUUUUCUUUCAUUUAUUAAUGAUCCUAGUUUCAAUUAUUGUCAGAUUCUGGGGACAAGAACCAUUCUUGCCCACCUGUGUUACUGCUUUACUGUGCAAAAUACUGAAGGCAAGUCAGACCCAGGGAGCUGGAUUGCCAUCCUUUAUUUUGUGUUUCCAGUGUACACUAUAAAAUUGUCUCCCCAGGAAGGAAGGUUGGCACUUUCUCUGCAUUCUUCUUUCCAGAGCAGAUUGCCUGGUUAAGAAUCUCUUGUUGUCCCCUUUGUAUAUUGUUAUUGUAAAGUGCCAAAUGCCAGGAUACAGCCAGAAAAAUUGCUUAUUAUUAUUAAAAAAAUUUUUUUAAGAAAGACAUCUGGAUUGUAGGGUGGACUCGAUAACCUGGUCAUUAUUUUUUUGAAGCCAAAAUAUCCAUUUAUACUAUGUACCUGGUGACCAGUGUCUCUCAUUUUAACUGAGGGUGGUGGGUCUGUGGAUAGAACACUGACUCUUGCUAUUUUAAUAUCAAAGAUAUUCUAGAGUGGAACUCUUAAGACCAGUAUCUUUGUGUGGGCUUUACCAGCAUUCACUUUUAGAAAAACUACCUAAAUUUUAUAAUCCUUUAAUUUCUUCAUCUGGAGCACCUGCCCCUACUUAUUUCAAGAAGAUUGCAGUAAAACGAUUAAAUGAGGGAACAUAUGCAGAGGUGCUUUUAAAAAGCAUAUGCCACCUUUUUUAUUAAUUAUUAUAUAAAAUGAAGCAUUUAAUUAUAGUAAUAAUUUGAAGUAGUUUGAAGUACCACACUGAGGUGAGGACUUAAAAAUGAUAAGACGAGUUCCCUAUUUUAUAAGAAAAAUAAGCCAAAAUUAAAUAUUCUUUUGGAUAUAAAUUUCAACAGUGAGAUAGCUGCCUAGUGGAAAUGAAUAAUAUCCCAGCCACUAGUGUACAGGGUGUUUUGUGGCACAGGAUUAUGUAAUAUGGAACUGCUCAAGCAAAUAACUAGUCAUCACAACAGCAGUUCUUUGUAAUAACUGAAAAAGAAUAUUGUUUCUCGGAGAAGGAUGUCAAAAGAUCGGCCCAGCUCAGGGAGCAGUUUGCCCUACUAGCUCCUCGGACAGCUGUAAAGAAGAGUCUCUGGCUCUUUAGAAUACUGAUCCCAUUGAAGAUACCACGCUGCAUGUGUCCUUAGUAGUCAUGUCUCCUUAGGCUCCUCUUGGACAUUCUGAGCAUGUGAGACCUGAGGACUGCAAACAGCUAUAAGAGGCUCCAAAUUAAUCAUAUCUUUCCCUUUGAGAAUCUGGCCAAGCUCCAGCUAAUCUACUUGGAUGGGUUGCCAGCUAUCUGGAGAAAAAGAUCUUCCUCAGAAGAAUAGGCUUGUUGUUUUACAGUGUUAGUGAUCCAUUCCCUUUGACGAUCCCUAGGUGGAGAUGGGGCAUGAGGAUCCUCCAGGGGAAAAGCUCACUACCACUGGGCAACAACCCUAGGUCAGGAGGUUCUGUCAAGAUACUUUCCUGGUCCCAGAUAGGAAGAUAAAGUCUCAAAAACAACCACCACACGUCAAGCUCUUCAUUGUUCCUAUCUGCCAAAUCAUUAUACUUCCUACAAGCAGUGCAGAGAGCUGAGUCUUCAGCAGGUCCAAGAAAUUUGAACACACUGAAGGAAGUCAGCCUUCCCACCUGAAGAUCAACAUGCCUGGCACUCUAGCACUUGAGGAUAGCUGAAUGAAUGUGUAUUUCUUUGUCUCUUUCUUUCUUGUCUUUGCUCUUUGUUCUCUAUCUAAAGUGUGUCUUACCCAUUUCCAUGUUUCUCUUGCUAAUUUCUUUCGUGUGUGCCUUUGCCUCAUUUUCUCUUUUUGUUCACAAGAGUGGUCUGUGUCUUGUCUUAGACAUAUCUCUCAUUUUUCAUUUUGUUGCUAUUUCUCUUUGCUCUCCUAGAUGUGGCUCUUCUUUCACGCUUUAUUUCAUGUCUCCUUUUUGGGUCACAUGCUGUGUGCUUUUUGUCCUUUUCUUGUUCUGUCUACCUCUCCUUUCUCUGCCUACCUCUCUUUUCUCUUUGUGAACUGUGAUUAUUUGUUACCCCUUCCCCUUCUCGUUCGUUUUAAAUUUCACCUUUUUUCUGAGUCUGGCCUCCUUUCUGCUGUUUCUACUUUUUAUCUCACAUUUCUCAUUUCUGCAUUUCCUUUCUGCCUCUCUUGGGCUAUUCUCUCUCUCCUCCCCUGCGUGCCUCAGCAUCUCUUGCUGUUUGUGAUUUUCUAUUUCAGUAUUAAUCUCUGUUGGCUUGUAUUUGUUCUCUGCUUCUUCCCUUUCUACUCACCUUUGAGUAUUUCAGCCUCUUCAUGAAUCUAUCUCCCUCUCUUUGAUUUCAUGUAAUCUCUCCUUAAAUAUUUCUUUGCAUAUGUGGGCAAGUGUACGUGUGUGUGUGUCAUGUGUGGCAGAGGGGCUUCCUAACCCCUGCCUGAUAGGUGCAGAACGUCGGCUAUCAGAGCAAGCAUUGUGGAGCGGUUCCUUAUGCCAGGCUGCCAUGUGAGAUGAUCCAAGACCAAAACAAGGCCCUAGACUGCAGUAAAACCCAGAACUCAAGUAGGGCAGAAGGUGGAAGGCUCAUAUGGAUAGAAGGCCCAAAGUAUAAGACAGAUGGUUUGAGACUUGAGACCCGAGGACUAAGAUGGAAAGCCCAUGUUCCAAGAUAGAUAGAAGCCUCAGGCCUGAAACCAACAAAAGCCUCAAGAGCCAAGAAAACAGAGGGUGGCCUGAAUUGGACCGAAGGCCUGAGUUGGAUGGAAGUCUCAAGGCUUGAGUUAGAAGUCUUAAGACCUGGGACAGGACACAUGGAAGGCCUAAGAACUGAGACUUGUGACACAAGGCCAACGACCUAAGAUUAGCCCAGGGUUGUAGCUGGAAGACCUACAACCCAAGGAUGGAAGGCCCCUGUCACAAAGCCUACCUAGAUGGAUAGAGGACCCAAGCGAAAAAGGUAUCUCAAGACUAACGGCCGGAAUCUGGAGGCCCAUGACCCAGAACCCAGGAAGGAUAGAAGCUUGAAGACCUGGGGAAAUCCCAAGAUGAGAACCCUAAACCCUACCUCUUUUCUAUUGUUUACACUUCUUACUCUUAGAUAUUUCCAGUUCUCCUGUUUAUCUUUAAGCCUGAUUCUUUUGAGAUGUACUUUUUGAUGUUGCCGGUUACCUUUAGAUUGACAGUAUUAUGCCUGGGCCAGUCUUGAGCCAGCUUUAAAUCACAGCUUUUACCUAUUUGUUAGGCUAUAGUGUUUUGUAAACUUCUGUUUCUAUUCACAUCUUCUCCACUUGAGAGAGACACCAAAAUCCAGUCAGUAUCUAAUCUGGCUUUUGUUAACUUCCCUCAGGAGCAGACAUUCAUAUAGGUGAUACUGUAUUUCAGUCCUUUCUUUUGACCCCAGAAGCCCUAGACUGAGAAGAUAAAAUGGUCAGGUUGUUGGGGAAAAAAAAGUGCCAGGCUCUCUAGAGAAAAAUGUGAAGAGAUGCUCCAGGCCAAUGAGAAGAAUUAGACAAGAAAUACACAGAUGUGCCAGACUUCUGAGAAGCACCUGCCAGCAACAGCUUCCUUCUUUGAGCUUAGUCCAUCCCUCAUGAAAAAUGACUGACCACUGCUGGGCAGCAGGAGGGAUGAUGACCAACUAAUUCCCAAACCCCAGUCUCAUUGGUACCAGCCUUGGGGAACCACCUACACUUGAGCCACAAUUGGUUUUGAAGUGCAUUUACAAGGUUUGUCUAUUUUCAGUUCUUUACUUUUUACAUGCUGACACAUACAUACACUGCCUAAAUAGAUCUCUUUCAGAAACAAUCCUCAGAUAACGCAUAGCAAAAUGGAGAUGGAGACAUGAUUUCUCAUGCAACAGCUUCUCUAAUUAUACCUUAGAAAUGUUCUCCUUUUUAUCAUCAAAUCUGCUCAAGAAGGGCUUUUUAUAGUAGAAUAAUAUCAGUGGAUGAAAACAGCUUAACAUUUUACCAUGCUUAAGUUUUAAGAAUAAAAUAAAAAUUGGAAAUAAUUGGCCAAAAUUGAAAGGAAAAAUUUUUUUAAAAUUUCUCUAAAUGUAGGCCUGGCUGGGCUUUGACCUUUUCCGUUUUUAAAUCACUCACAGAGGGUGGGACAGGAGGAAGAGUGAAGGAAAAGGUCAAACCUGUUUUAAGGGCAACCUGCCUUUGUUCUGAAUUGGUCUUAAGAACAUUACCAGCUCCAGGUUUAAAUUGUUCAGUUUCAUGCAGUUCCAAUAGCUGAUCAUUGUUGAGAUGAGGACAAAAUCCUUUGUCCUCACUAGUUUGCUUUACAUUUUUGAAAAGUAUUAUUUUUGUCCAAGUGCUUAUCAACUAAACCUUGUGUUAGGUAAGAAUGGAAUUUAUUAAGUGAAUCAGUGUGACCCUUCUUGUCAUAAGAUUAUCUUAAAGCUGAAGCCAAAAUAUGCUUCAAAAGAAGAGGACUUUAUUGUUCAUUGUAGUUCAUACAUUCAAAGCAUCUGAACUGUAGUUUCUAUAGCAAGCCAAUUACAUCCAUAAGUGGAGAAGGAAAUAGAUAAAUGUCAAAGUAUGAUUGGUGGAGGGAGCAAGGUUGAAGAUAAUCUGGGGUUGAAAUUUUCUAGUUUUCAUUCUGUACAUUUUUAGUUAGACAUCAGAUUUGAAAUAUUAAUGUUUACCUUUCAAUGUGUGGUAUCAGCUGGACUCAGUAACACCCCUUUCUUCAGCUGGGGAUGGGGAAUGGAUUAUUGGAAAAUGGAAAGAAGAAAGUAACUAAAAGCCUUCCUUUCACAGUUUCUGGCAUCACUACCACUACUGAUUAAACAAGAAUAAGAGAACAUUUUAUCAUCAUCUGCUUUAUUCACAUAAAUGAAGUUGUGAUGAAUAAAUCUGCUUUUAUGCAGACACAAGGAAUUAAGUGGCUUCGUCAUUGUCCUUCUACCUCAAAGAUAAUUUAUUCCAAAAGCUAAGAUAAAUGGAAGACUCUUGAACUUGUGAACUGAUGUGAAAUGCAGAAUCUCUUUUGAGUCUUUGCUGUUUGGAAGAUUGAAAAAUAUUGUUCAGCAUGGGUGACCACCAGAAAGUAAUCUUAAGCCAUCUAGAUGUCACAAUUGAAACAAACUGGGGAGUUGGUUGCUAUUGUAAAAUAAAAUAUACUGUUUUGAAAACUUUGUAUUUUGAUGUGACAAUUUCUAACUCACUGUCCCUAA
rnacentral:lncRNA from 1 species